rnacentral:rRNA from 1 species
GACGAACGCUGGCGGCGUGCUUAACACAUGCAAGUCGAACGGAAAGGCCCUGCUUUUGUGGGGUGCUCGAGUGGCGAACGGGUGAGUAACACGUGAGUAACCUGCCCUUGACUUUGGGAUAACUUCAGGAAACUGGGGCUAAUACCGGAUAGGAGCUCCUGCUGCAUGGUGGGGGUUGGAAAGUUUCGGCGGUUGGGGAUGGACUCGCGGCUUAUCAGCUUGUUGGGGGGGUAGUGGCUUACCAAGGUUUUGACGGGUAGCCGGCCUGAGAGGGUGACCGGCCUCAGUGGGACUGAGGUACGGCCCAGACUCCUACGGGAGGCAGCGGUGGGGAAUAUUGCACAAUGGGCGGAAGCCUGAUGCAGCAACGCCGCGUGCGGGAUGACGGCCUUCGGGUUGUAAACCGCUUUCGCCUGGGACGAAGCGUGAGUGACGGUAAUGGGUAAAGAAGCACCGGCUAACUACGUG